GAUGAUUAUUAUUGAUCAUUUGUAGCAUACCAGUUACAGAUGUAUAUUGUUUAGCACUAAGACAAGUCAAUACAGCUUUAAUUCACAAAGUGUAGUAAUCUGAGUGUACUAACCCGAGUGAACUAACCCGAGUGAACUAACCCGAGUGUAGUAACCCGAGUGUAGAAUCUGAGUUGUAGUAAUCUGAGUGUACUAACCUGAGUGUAGUAAUCCGAGUGUAGUAAUCCGAGUGUAGUAACCCGAGUGUAGUAACCCGGUUGUAGUAAUCCGAGUGUAGUAACCCGAGUGUAGUAAUCCGAGUGUACUAACCCGAGUGUACUAACCCGAGUGUACUAACCCGAGUGUAGUAACCCGAGUGUAGUAACCCGAGUGUACUAACCCGAGUGUACUAACCCGAGUGUACUAACCCGAGUGUAGUAACCCGAGUGUAGUAACCCGAGUGUACUAACCCGAGUGUAGUAACCCGAGUGUAGUAACCCGAGUGUAGUAACCCGAGUGUACUAACCCGAGUGUAGUAACCCGAGUGUAGUAACCCGAGUGUAGUAAUCUGAGUGUAGUAACCCGAGUGUAGUAAUCUGAGUGUAGUAAUCUGAGUGUAGUAAUCUGAGUGUAGUAAUCCGAGUGUAGUAACCUGAGUGUAGUAACCUGAGUGUAG
ensembl:lncRNA